rnacentral:rRNA from 1 species
UGCUUGCACCCUGCUGACGAGUGGCGCACGGGUGCGGAACGCGUAUCGAACCUGCCCCUGUCAGGGGAAUAGCCCAUGGAAACGUGGAUUAAUGCCCCAUGGCAUCACGGGAUCGCAUGAUUUUGUGAUUAAAGAUUUAUCGGACAGGGAUGGCGAUGCGUGCCAUUAGUUAGUUGGUAAGGUAACGGCUUACCAAGGCAGCGAUGGCUAGGGGCCCUGAGAGGGGGAUCCCCCACACUGGUACUGAGACACGGACCAGACUCCUACGGGAGGCAGCAGUGAGGAAUAUUGGACAAUGGUGGGAACACUGAUCCAGCCAUGCCGCGUGCAGGAUGACUGCCCUAUGGGUUGUAAACUGCUUUUAUACGGGAAGAAACCCAGGUACGUGUACCUGGCUGACGGUACCGUAAGAAUAAGGACCGGCUAACUCCGUGCCAGCAGCCGCGGUAAUACGGAGGGUCCGAGCGUUAUCCGGAAUCAUUGGGUUUAAAGGGUCCGUAGGCGGGCCAAUAAGUCAGAGGUGAAAGGCCACGGCUCAACCGUGGGACUGCCUUUGAUACUGUUGGUCUUGAGUCAUAGUGGGGUUGCCGGAACAUGUGGUGUAGCGGUGAAAUGCAUAGAUAUCACAUAGAACACCGAUCGCGAAGGCAGGUGGCCAACUAUGAACUGACGCUGAUGGACGAAAGCGUGGGGAGCGAACGGGAUUAGAUACCCCGGUAGUCCACGCCGUAAACGAUGGAUACUAGCUGUGGGGACUUCGGUCUCCGUGGCCAAGCGAAAGUGAUAAGUAUCCCACCUGGGGAGUACGUUCGCAAGAAUGAAACUCAAAGGAAUUGACGGGGGCCCGCACAAGCGGUGGAGCAUGUGGUUUAAUUCGAUGA